rnacentral:tRNA from 2 species
GGGUGUGGUCAAAUGGUAUGACAGAGGUCUCCAAAACCUUUAGCGAGGGUUCGAUUCCUUCCACCC